GUGCUUGCUUCUGCAGCACAUCUACAAAAAUUGGAAUAAGAGAAGAUUAGCAUGGCCCCUGCACAAGGAUGACAUGCAAAUUCGUGAAGCAUUAGUUAUUAAA
rnacentral:snRNA from 1 species